rnacentral:rRNA from 1 species
AGCCCGGAGAUGGAUUCUGGGACACGAAUCCAGACCCUACGGGGUGCAGCAGGCGCGAAAACUUGGCAAUGCGAGAAAUCGUGACCAGGGAACUCCAAGUGGCUGGGGUAAGACCCAGUCUUUUCUUGACUCUUCAAAGGUCUUGGAAUAAGAGGUGGGUAAGGACGGUGCCAGCCGCCGCGGUAAUACCGGCGCCUCAAGUGGUAGUCGAUUUUAUUGGGCCUAAAACGUCCGUAGCCUGUUUGGUACAUUCGUGGGUAAAUCAACCAGCUUAACUGGUUGAAUUCUGCGAGCACGGCCAGACUUGGGACCGGGAGAGGUGUGGGGUACGCUCAGGGUAGGGGUAAAAUCCUGUCAUCCUGAGCGGACCGCCUGUUGCGAAGGCGCCACACUAGAACGGAUCCGACGGUCAGGGACGAAGCCUAGGGGCACGAACCGGAUUAGAUACCCGGGUAGUCCUAGGUGUAAACGCUGUGGACUUGGUGUUGGGGAUUCUCCGAGGAUUUUCAGUGCCGAAGCGAAGGUGAUAAGUCCACCGCCUGGGGAGUACGGUCGCAAGGCUGAAACUUAAAGGAAUUGGCGGGGGAGCACCGCAACCUGAGGAUUGUGCGGUUUAAUUGGACUCAACGCCGGGA